AAAUCAAUAAGAAGCAGGAAUGCCUGUGCAAAGAGGGCAGGUUACGCAUGAGCUGGAGAAAAGGCUUUUGGGUUGCCCACACCCUGCACACAGGCUUGGAGAGGGUGGGAUUACAGCACAACAUCUGUUUGCUCACAAGAGAUGCCAGUAACAUUUUGGGAAAGUCUCUUCUCUUAUGCAAUAAACUGCAGGAAAACAGUCAGAAGAGACCCAGUGUUUGGAAGAGACAGACAUGGCUGAGGUGACAUUUGUGGGGGAUGCAUCCUAAGCCCUGUGGAGGCUGCAGCACGUGCCAGAAAGUGCUGCAGACCCAGACAGGCAACUGGUGGAAGCGGGUGAGAAAAGAGCCAGCCAAAGCAGGAACACAGCCUGCAUCUGAGGAGCCUGAGGAAAAGUUCUGCCAUCAGACUCUUGCAGGUCUGGGACUGCUCUUCUCCCUCCAAACCAAAGAAAGGCUGUGUGUUUGCAGAUACGUAACACCACAGCACCUGAUAUCACCCCCAAAGGCCAUACACUUGUAUUGAUGAAUCGAGGUUUGACAGACCAGCUCCUCCUGCAGACAAGUACUCUUCUUACAGCAUAUCAGAGCAUUGUGAAACAAUGAAAUAGUUCCAGAAAAGUGAUAUACUAGGACAAACCUGAGGCAAGCUGACAACAGAAGCACAUUCAGAUCUACAG